rnacentral:rRNA from 1 species
AGGUAGGUGGGGUGAGUAUCCUAAGGCGCUCGGGGGAACUGUGGUAAAGGAACUCGGCAAAAUGGCCCCGUAACUUCGGGAUAAGGGGCGCCCCUUGGAGAAGGCUUCGCAAGAAGAACCGGGGGGCUGCAGGAAUCGGUUGUUACGACUGUUUACUAAAAACACAGGUCUCUGCCAAGUCCACAAAGACGACGUAUAGAGACUGACGCUUGCUCGGUGCCGGAAGGUCAAGGUGAGGGGUCAGCCCGCAAGGGCGAAGCUCCGAGCCGAAGCCCCGGUUAACGGCGGCCGUAACUAUGACGGUCCUAAGGUAGCGAAGUUCCUUGUCGGGUAAGUUCCGACGCGCAUGAACAGCGUAACGUAGCAACGCUGUCUCUACCGCAGACCCGGCGAAAUUGUAGUAGCGGUGAAGAUGCCGCUUACCCGCAGUUAGACGGAAAGACCCCGUGAACCUUCACUGUAGCCUAUUAUUGAGUUUGGGUGUGGCAUGUGUAGGAUAGGUGGGAGGCAUUGAAGCUGGGACGCCAGUCUCAGCAGAGCCGCCGGAGAAAUACCACCCUUGUUGCAUCUAAAUUCUAACUCGAUUCCUUGAACCAGGGUCCAGGACAGUGAUAGGUGGGCAGUUUGGCUGGGGCGGCUUCCUCCUAAAGAGUAACGGAGGAGCCCAAAGGCACCUUCAGCGCGGUUGGCAAUCGCGCGGAGAGCGUAAGGGUAUAAGGGUGCCUGACUGUGAGACCAAUAAGUCGAGCAGAGGUGAAAGCCGGGCCUAAUGAUCCGGCGUUACCGGGUGGAAGGGACGUCGCUCAUCAGAUAAAAGGUACUCCGGGGAUAACAGGCUGAUCUCUCCCAAGAGUCCAUAUCGACGGGGAGGUUUGGCACCUCGAUGUCGGCUCAUCACAUCCUGGGGCUGUAGGAGGUCCCAAGGGUUCGGCUGUUCGCCGAUUAAAGUGGUACGCGAGCUGGGUUUAGACCGGCGUGAGCCAGGUCGGUCCCUAUCUACUGUGGGUGCAGGAGACUUGCGGGGAGCUGUCCCUAGUACGAGAGGAUCGGGAUGGACGGACCUCUGGUGUACCUGUUGUCUCGUCAGAGGCACCGCAGGGUAGCUAUGUCCGGAAGGGAUAAGCGCUGAAAGCAUAUAAGUGCGAAGCCCCCCCCAAAACGAGGUCUCCCUGAAGGCACCUCGAAGACGACGAGGUUGAUAGGCCGGAGGUGUAAGCACGGCAACGUGUUCAGCCGACCGGUACUAAUCUGCCGUUCGGCUUGACCGU